rnacentral:rRNA from 1 species
UACGUAGGAUGCAAGCGUUGUCCGGAUUUAUUGGGCGUAAAGCGAACGUAGGCGGCUUCUUAAGUUUGGUCUUAAAGACCGGGGCUCAACCCCGGGAAUGGACUGAAUACUGGGAGGCUAGAGGAUGUCAGAGGAAAGUGGAAUUCCUAGUGUAGCGGUGAAAUGCGUAGAUAUUAGGAGGAACACCAGUGGCGAAAGCGGCAUCCUGGACCGGUAUUGACGCUGAGGCGCGAAAGCUAGGGGAGCAAACGGG